AAAUUGAAGAGUUUGAUCAUGGCUCAGAUUGAACGCUGGCGGCAGGCCUAACACAUGCAAGUCGAACGGUAACAGGAAACAGCUUGCUGUUUCGCUGACGAGUGGCGGACGGGUGAGUAAUGUCUGGGAAACUGCCUGAUGGAGGGGGAUAACUACUGGAAACGGUAGCUAAUACCGCAUAACGUCGCAAGACCAAAGAGGGGGACCUUCGGGCCUCUUGCCAUCGGAUGUGCCCAGAUGGGAUUAGCUAGUAGGUGGGGUAACGGCUCACCUAGGCGACGAUCCCUAGCUGGUCUGAGAGGAUGACCAGCCACACUGGAACUGAGACACGGUCCAGACUCCUACGGGAGGCAGCAGUGGGGAAUAUUGCACAAUGGGCGCAAGCCUGAUGCAGCCAUGCCGCGUGUAUGAAGAAGGCCUUCGGGUUGUAAAGUACUUUCAGCGGGGAGGAAGGGAGUAAAGUUAAUACCUUUGCUCAUUGACGUUACCCGCAGAAGAAGCACCGGCUAACUCCGUGCCAGCAGCCGCGGUAAUACGGAGGGUGCAAGCGUUAAUCGGAAUUACUGGGCGUAAAGCGCACGCAGGCGGUUUGUUAAGUCAGAUGUGAAAUCCCCGGGCUCAACCUGGGAACUGCAUCUGAUACUGGCAAGCUUGAGUCUCGUAGAGGGGGGUAGAAUUCCAGGUGUAGCGGUGAAAUGCGUAGAGAUCUGGAGGAAUACCGGUGGCGAAGGCGGCCCCCUGGACGAAGACUGACGCUCAGGUGCGAAAGCGUGGGGAGCAAACAGGAUUAGAUACCCUGGUAGUCCACGCUGUAAACGAUGUCGACUUGGAGGUUGUGCCCUUGAGGUGUGGCUUCCGGAGCUAACGCGUUAAGUCGACCGCCUGGGGAGUACGGCCGCAAGGUUAAAACUCAAAUGAAUUGACGGGGCCCGCACAAGCGGUGGAGCAUGUGGUUUAAUUCGAUGCAACGCGAAGAACCUUACCUGGUCUUGACAUCCACGGAAGUUUUCAGAGAUGAGAAUGUGCCUUCGGGAACCGUGAGACAGGUGCUGCAUGGCUGUCGUCAGCUCGUGUUGUGAAAUGUUGGGUUAAGUCCCGCAACGAGCGCAACCCUUAUCCUUUGUUGCCAGCGGUCCGGCCGGGAACUCAAAGGAGACUGCCAGUGAUAAACUGGAGGAAGGUGGGGAUGACGUCAAGUCAUCAUGGCCCUUACGACCAGGGCUACACACGUGCUACAAUGGCGCAUACAAAGAGAAGCGACCUCGCGAGAGCAAGCGGACCUCAUAAAGUGCGUCGUAGUCCGGAUUGGAGUCUGCAACUCGACUCCAUGAAGUCGGAAUCGCUAGUAAUCGUGGAUCAGAAUGCCACGGUGAAUACGUUCCCGGGCCUUGUACACACCGCCCGUCACACCAUGGGAGUGGGUUGCAAAAGAAGUAGGUAGCUUAACCUUCGGGAGGGCGCUUACCACUUUGUGAUUCAUGACUGGGGUGAAGUCGUAACAAGGUAACCGUAGGGGAACCUGCGGUUGGAUCACCUCCUUACCUUAAAGAAGC
rnacentral:rRNA from 1 species